rnacentral:rRNA from 1 species
GGUAAGUACGGGCCAGCAGCCGCUGGAAUGCGUAGGUGGGAAGCGUUGUCAGGAUUUAUUGGGCGUAAAGCGCGCGCAGGCGGUUUCGUAAGUCUGAUGUGAAAGCCCACGGCUCAACCGUGGAAGGUCAUUGGAAACUGGGGAGCUUGAGUGCAGAAGAGGAGAGUGGAAUUCCAUGUGUAGCGGUGAAAUGCGUAGAUAUAUGGAGGAACACCAGUGGCGAAGGCGACUCUCUGGUCUGUAACUGACGCUGAGGCUCGAAAGCGUGGGGAGCAAACAGGAUUAGAUACCCCGGUAGUC